GUGCCAGAGAGCUCAAGGCGCCAGCUUGCUGCCUUUCUGGUGUGGGGUCAAAAAAUCCCGGAGGUCAGGGGCAGUGUGCGAGCCGGAAGUGGGCUGUACAGCUAGGACGUCAUUGGGUUCCGGGAGUGGAAUUCAGGUCGUCAGGCCUGACGGUAGCACCUUUCCGUGCCGAGCCAUCUCUCCAGGCCUGUAAAUUAUCUCUGCAUACUGAUCUUAUAGCCCUCUAGUGGAAGCAUUGGCAAACCCUCCUGGAAUUGCAUGUAGACCAUCAGGUUGUCUGCAAAUGAAGAUACUUUUCCUUCUUUCUUUCCCACAAAGAAAUUUCACCCUGGUUAUUGCCUUCGUCCCAAGUAUUCUUCUUAGCUCCCGAUGCGGGGAAGGUCCACAGAUCUUUCCUGCGUGAUUUCUGUAUGGUUAGAGACCAUACUUACUCUGACUUAAGCCUCCAUCUUGGAUUGUGUUCCCCGUGCUCCCGAGAAGAGAUGUCUGUCUGUCUUGGUGGAUGGAAUGUUGCUGUCAGUAAUUCAAACCUCCUGAAGUCCACGGUGACCACCUGAAUCCUGUUAUAUCAAGCUAGUCUACUGUGUUAGCUGAGAGCUAUUUUGUCUGGAAUGUUAGGACAGUAUCAGAAAGGGGCUGGUGGAAAUCUUUCCUCCUUCUCUCUGUUGCUGGGAGUCCAUCACUGCAACACCCCCAAAGGAGAUUUCAGCAAAGUGCUUUCUGGCGGGUCAUCUUAUGGAAACGUUGUCCUGUAUGUCAGAUGGACGGGGAACACAUUGGCGUUUCAAUGCACAAUAGUGCAUACAGUUGUUUCAUUUGCUUAAUUAAUUUGCUUAAUUGCUUGUUCCUUACA